rnacentral:lncRNA from 1 species
UUUCUGCAUUGCAGGAUCAGCGCUAAACGUGAUCAAUUUUCCCUUCCACGGUUCCUCACUCAAUUCUGAAACCAACACACCAAGUGCCACAGAAACCUCCAUCGGUAUCCCACUCAUACUCCCAGAAACAUCACAUACCGCGAUACAAUUACUUAAUUUUCCUUUCUUACAAAGAUCAUCAACCAUUCUUUUCCACUGAAGUUCAGCUACUUCCCCACCAUCUCCGUCGCUCAAUGCCCCAAUAAUCUCAUGUGGAAGCAACGCUCCGGCUGCA